GACGAACGCUGGCGGCGUGCCUAAUACAUGCAAGUUGAGCGCUGAAGGUUGGUACUUGUACCGACUGGAUGAGCAGCGAACGGGUGAGUAACGCGUGGGGAAUCUGCCUUUGAGCGGGGGACAACAUUUGGAAACGAAUGCUAAUACCGCAUAAAAACUUUAAACACAAGUUUUAAGUUUGAAAGAUGCAAUUGCAUCACUCAAAGAUGAUCCCGCGUUGUAUUAGCUAGUUGGUGAGGUAAAGGCGCACCAAGGCGAUGUUACAUAGCCGACCUGAGAGGGUGAUCGGCCACAUUGGGACUGAGACACGGCCCAAACUCCUACGGGAGGCAGCAGUAGGGAAUCGUCGGCGAUGGACGAAAGUCUGACCGAGCAACGCCGCGUGAGUGAAGAAGGUUGUCGGAUCGUAAAACUCGGUUGGUAGAGAAGAACGUUGGUGAGAGUGGAAAGCUCAUCAAGUGACGGUAACUACCCAGAAAGGGACGGCUAACUACGUG
rnacentral:rRNA from 1 species